GCUGGUUUCGUGGCAGUGAAGCGAUCAUGUUCAAGGCUUCUAUGUUGUAUCAUCGCUUUAAAAACAUCUACCUCAUUGGAGACGGAGAUGAAACCCUGAGUCAAGAGUACAUCAACUCACUGCAGGCGGAGAGAGAGAAAGAGAGCAGAGAGACAGGACGACAGACAGACAGAUGCUGGAGCAGUUAUCAGUCUGACGGGCAUCAACGGAAAGACCACAGGCCUGAAACGUGCACUUUAAACAACUGAACGGGUGCCUCACAAUGCUGCCACGGAGGACAAGAGCUGACAGGACCCCUGCCGUUCACUUCCUUUUUUUAACUUCAUCUUGUCAUCAGACUUCUCACUGCUGGAGAGAGUGCAGUUAUUUAUUUCCCCUGUGAUGAACAGAGUUUUAGUCAACAUUCCCC